GAUGAACGCUGGCGGCGUGCCUAAUACAUGCAAGUCGAGCGAACGGACGAGAAGCUUGCUUCUCUGAUGUUAGCGGCGGACGGGUGAGUAACACGUGGAUAACCUACCUAUAAUACUGGGAUAACUUCGGGAAACCGUAGCUAAUACCGGAUAAUAUUUUGAACCGCAUGGUUCAAAAGUGAAAGACGGUCUUGCUGUCACUUAUAGAUGGAUCCGCGCUGCAUUAGCUAGUUGGUAAGGUAACGGCUUACCAAGGCAACGAUGCAUAGCCGACCUGAGAGGGUGAUCGGCCACACUGGAACUGAGACACGGUCCAGACUCCUACGGGAGGCAGCAGUAGGGAAUAUUCCGCAAUGGGCGAAAGCCUGACGGAGCAACGCCGCGUGAGUGAUGAAGGUCUUCGGAUCGUAAAACUCUGUUAUUAGGGAAGAACAUAUGUGUAAGUAACUGUGCACAUCUUGACGGUACCUAAUCAGAAAGCCACGGCUAACUACGUG
rnacentral:rRNA from 1 species